rnacentral:rRNA from 1 species
CUGGCUCAGGAUGAACGCUAGCGGCAGGCUAACACAUGCAAGUCGAGGGGCAUCGGGAGUAGCAAUACUUGCCGGCGACCGGCGCAAGGGUGCGUAACGCGUGAGCAACAUGCCCGUAUCAGGGGGAUAAUCCAUGGAAACGUGGUCUAAUACCCCAUAGUAAUUAUGUAAGGCAUCUUAUAUAAUUUAAAGCUUUGGUGGAUACGGAUUGGCUCGCGUGACAUUAGCUAGAUGGUAAGGUAACGGCUUACCAUGGCUACGAUGUCUAGGGGUUCUGAGAGGAAGGUCCCCCACACUGGAACUGAGACACGGUCCAGACUCCUACGGGAGGCAGCAGUGAGGAAUAUUGGACAAUGGAUGGAAAUCUGAUCCAGCCAUGCCGCGUGCAGGAAGAACCGGCCCUAUGGGUUGUAAACUGCUUUUGUAUGGGAGCAAUAAGGGCUACGCGUAGUCCGAUGAGAGUACCAUACGAAUAAGCACCGGCUAACUCCGUGCCAGCAGCAGC